AUACACAGAGAACCACGUGGAGGAAAAGCACGCGAGUUUGGAGCGGGUGGAGCAGGAACAGAGGUGGACUGGAAUGUCACACGACGGGGCAGCUGGAAGGGCACCACUGAGUUCAGUACUUCAAAAUUGCCGUGCUCUACCUCUCCCCAGUGCACAAAAACACUCUCCACACCAAGCUGCUGCUGCUGGGGGAUGGAGGGAUGGCGUCAGCGAUUCAAGACUGUUUUUCCUACCUGUUCAGCACUUCUUUCAGCGAUAUGAAGUUAAAUCCAGGCCAAGUUCCCACCUGGUGGGAAGCACUGUGCAGGUUCGUGGGGAUGCAGCCCUGCACAGCCCAGACUGGACUCCUUCCCCAUGGAACUCACAACACACGGGAGAGGCAGAGAGAUCCAAGCGCACAGAAAAACACAAGAAGAUUCAGCCCUGUCAUCUUGUGCAAAAGUCACACAGGCUAGAGUGCAGUGGCAUGAUCUCAGC
rnacentral:lncRNA from 1 species